UCGAGAAUUUUUCUCAAUGGGCGAAAGCCUGAAGGAGCGACGCCGCGUGGGGGAUGAAGGGCUUCGGCUCGUAAACCCCUGUCAUUUGCGAACAAACCUUACGAUUGAAUAGAUCGUGAGCUGAUUGUAGCGAAAGAGGAAGGGACGGCUAACUCUGUGCCAGCAGCCGCGGUAAUACAGAGGUCCCAAGCGUUGUUCGGAUUCACUGGGCGUAAAGGGUGCGUAGGUGGCAAGGUAAGUUUGAUGUGAAAUCUCCGGGCUUAACCCGGAAACUGCAUUGAAUACUAUCUCGCUCGAGAGUUGGAGGGGAGACUGGAAUACUUGGUGUAGCAGUGAAAUGCGUAGAUAUCAAGUGGAACACCAGUGGCGAAGGCGAGUCUCUGGACAACUUCUGACACUGAGGCACGAAAGCUAGGGGAGCAAACAGGAUUAGAUACCCCCGUAGUCC
rnacentral:rRNA from 1 species